UAAAAAAGCCUUUCUCUAGUUAGCAAACCAACUUUCUAGCUAUCUAUUGUUCUCUCUUUCUUUCUUAUUCUCUCUUUGCUUUUCUCAUAUAUUAUCUCUUCUCCCUUUCUAUCUUUGCUUUUCUUAGCUUUCAUUUCUUUCUUUCACAAUACCAUUUGAUUCUCCACCAUAUUUUGCAAAGGAACCACCUUCUUCAUCCUUCCAUCAACCUUUUAUAAAAGAAAGAACUAACAAAAAAGAAAGAAAGAGAAAGAGAGAAAGCAAGAAAUUUAGAACUAAAAGAUUUCAAAAAAGAAAUACCGUCAAAUAAAAGAGAAACUAUGGUUUUCUCUUCUGUUCCACUCUAUUUAGAUCCUCCUAAUUGGCAACAUCAUCCUAAUAAUCAGCAAAUUCUCCAAGGAAGUACUUCAAGUGGAAAUCAUGAUCAAAAUCAACUUCUUAUUCCACCACCACCAGCAAUACCUCAGCAACCUCAUACCCAGAUGGGUAUUGGUGGAGGCCCAUCAGACGGGCCUCUUAUCCGCCCUAACUCGAUGGCGGAGCGAGCCCGCCAAGCAAAGAUUCCUCCACCUGAGGCACCACUAAAGUGCCCCAGGUGUGAGUCUACAAACACAAAGUUUUGCUACUUCAAUAACUAUAGCUUGACACAACCACGCCACUUUUGUAAGGCCUGUAGAAGGUAUUGGACGCGAGGUGGGGCCCUUAGGAAUGUUCCUGUUGGAGGAGGUUGCCGGAGGAAUAAGAGAUCUUCGAGUAAGUCAUCUAGUGGUGGUGGUGGUGGCAGUGGUGGUUCUUCGUCUAAGUCCUGCUUAACCUCUCCUAGUACUUUACUAGGAGGGGACAGAAUACCUCUUCACAUGGACUUAGUCAGUACAAGUAGUCUCGGUCCCACGAUCCCCGGGCUGCCUUCAGCAGGGGGUGGGACCGGGAUGUCAUCUUUCAUGGCAUCCUUACAAAAUAUAGCUCAAUUAGGGAUGGGAAAUUUAGGUCUAAGUUUUGGUGGGGCCCUUAGAGAGUCUCCUAAUCCUCUAGCAGGCUUAGGAGGCCUAAACGAAAGCCGCCACCAUCAUCAUAAUAACCUAGAGUUUCCUCAUCUGAAUCCCAAUAAUUCUACUAACACGCAAGUACAAUACCCAAAUUUCUUAGGGGGUUUUGAAAUUCCGGGUUCUUCAUCUAAUCAUGGUAUGUUCACGUCAUCUAAUUUUCAAAAUGAUCAUGGAAUUAGCAAUGAUCAUGAUGAUCAAGAACAAGCAAAUGAUAUCUCAAAGAGCUGUUCAUCAACAAUGUUAUCAUCCCAAUUUGCUCCAAUAAAAAUGGAAAAUGAUGGACAAGGGCUUAAUUUACACAAGCAAUUCAUCAACAAUAUUUCAUCAUCAGAUACUAACACUGUAACGGGUAACCAAUUUUGGAAUGGUAACACGGCUGUUUCUACUGGUACAACCAUGUGGACUGAUCUAUCUGGCCUUAACUCCUCUUCUACUAGCCAUCUUUUAUGAAAAAAAUAUUAAUUAUUAUAUUUUAUUGGGCAUCUUGGGAGGAGAAAGUUAGAUUUAUGGAACUAUUUAAGAUGAUAAUUCAACUAUGAAGUUCUAAGGCAUUUGGUCGACCGUGUUAAGGAAUCAAUUCAACCAGAAGUUUAAACUGAUGAUCUUGUGUCACGCUACUAAUGGUGAUGAUAAUCAUCAAUCUCCAUCAUGUAUGUAAGAGCUAGCUGCAUCAGCUUGGGUUGAGAUGCUUAUGUGUUCGUGUGUCUCCCUCUCAACAAUGCCAUGAUGAGAUUAUACUACUAGAAGUUCCAAGUUCAUAAGAGGAAAGUAGAACUUUAGCUGGGUGAUUUUUAUGACUUUUUGGUCGUGCAGUGACGCUUACAGGUACGAACACGCAAUAACUAACCCUUAUAUGCAAUUUGCUUUAAGACAUUAUUGUUUAUUCUGAUAAUAUGCAUUGUAUCGAAACUAUGAGGUACUAGUGAGUACACUUUAUAAGAAGAGUUAUAGAUUAUGAAAUCCUUGCACUUAGAAUAGUUUACAGAAGGAGAGUGUUAAUAGAAGGCGGGGACCACCCCCUUAUUUAUUUAAGAAUAGGAUUAUGUCUUACUUGGAGUUAGAAUGACUCCUUUAUAGGUGAAUUUCUUAUUUUGUUUGACUUGCUCAAUGGGUCUACAAUCCAUGGCACUCAUUCAUAGUAGAAAGCGGGAUUUAUUCCCAUUUGAUAAAGCAUUAGAUUAUGAUUAGCUGGUGUGUGAUAAGUGCAAUUAUUUGCACUCAUUUAUGCUAAUUUUAUGCUCCUUAUGUGAUGUUUUAGUGAGUUUUAGGUAGUAUUGUAAGUGAUAUUUGACAUUUUCGUCUUAUGUGCUUAAUAAUGUAUUUUAUGUAAUUUUUGAGGAGGAAUCGAAGUUUUAUUAGGUCCCGGGAGUGAUAAGAGGGUGAAGGCCUGGAGAAAUGGCUUAGGACCCCUAAAAGAAGUGAAGAGAUCGAGUCAAACAAGCUCCAAGGGGAAAAAACGAGUCGUAGCUAAACUAUGCCAAAAAGCCACGAUUCGUCGCUCAACAUUACAGUUAAGAACAAAAGCGACGAGUCGUCCCGCAAGAUGCCACGACUCGUCGCACACCUACUGAUCUCAGUAUUAUAGUCCGAUGCCAAAGCAACGACUCGUCGCUCCUGAUGCCACGACUCGUCGCAUACUUUCUGAACUGAGCAGUGCAUUCUAGAGACUGAGCGACGACUCUUCCCCAAUAUAGCCACGACUCGUCGCCAACUCACUGUAGUCACAUAUUCCAGGCAGUAGCAAAGCGACGACUCGUCGCUCCUAAUGUCACGAGUCGUCGCCAGUAUGUCAGAUGCUCUGUUCGUGCGUUCGACAGUUAUUUUUGGAGCCAUUAUAAAUAGUGGUAGUUAUUUUAUUUUUUAUACAUCAGUUUUAUCAGUUUUUAGUUUUUAAUCUUGAGAAUUAUUUUUGUUCCUUAAGCUUUUUGUUGCAAAAACUUCGUUGUUACGUUAAUUUCUCUUGCAAUUUAC